rnacentral:rRNA from 1 species
UAUGUCUUAAUUGAUCAAGAACGAAAGUUAGAGGCUCGAAGGCGAUCAGAUACCGCCCUAGUUCUAACCAUAAACGAUGCCAGCCAGCGAUCCGCCGACGUUCCUCCGAUGACUCGGCGGGGAGCUUUCCCCGGGAAACCAAAAGCUUUUGGGUUCCGGGGGAAGUAUGGUUGCAAAGCUGAAACUUAAAGGAAUUGACGGAAGGGCACCACCAGGAGUGGAGCCUGCGGCUUAAUUUGACUCAACACGGGAAAUUUCACUAGACCCGGACAUUGGAAGGAUUGACAGAUUGAUAGCUCUUUCUCGAUUCAGUGGGUAGUGGUGCAUGGCCGUUCUUAGUUGGUGGACUGAUUUGUCUGGUUUAUUCCGAUAACGAACGAGACUCUGACCUAUUAACUAGGCGUU